CUAUGAAAAUUCAGUAAGAAAAAGAAGAGUAUGGUAUUUGAGCCAAGACUAUUUAAUUCAAGCUCAAAGAUGUAAUAAGUACACUGUAAACAGAACAGACUAAAACCAAAAUGACAUGGUUACAUCACAGUGUUUAUUGUCUGCACCUAAGCAGGCAGAAAGGUGAUUCUGCAGGCGUUCCAAUAAACUGAGCCUGGACUAAUUGCAGUUUUGUCCAACAAACAAAUUGUUUUUAUUUUAAAAUCUACUAUAGUUAUAUUUUACAAUGGGCAUGCCAAUGCAGUAGUAGUCUACUUUAUUUAAAAAAAAAUUCAUGCAUUCUUCCACUAUGACUAAAUGAAAAUAUCAAGUUUUUAAAAAAAUACCAAGUCUUGAAUGACGUGCAAAUAAACUAGUCAGUGUCAAUGCACCUUCAUCCCUACUCAAAAAGACUUCCUCUUCUUCAACUGCUUUUUCUUCCCAAUUCCACAGGGCC
rnacentral:lncRNA from 1 species